AUACAGAGGGCUCGAGCGUUGAUCGGAAUCAUUGGGCUUAAAGGGUACGUAGGCGGGCUUGAAAGUAUCUUGUGAAAUCCCACGGCUCAACCGUGGAACUGCGAGGUAAACUUCAAGUCUUGAGAUCGGUAGAGGUUGUCGGAACAAUAGGUGGAGCGGUGAAAUGCGUACAUAUCUAUUGGAACGCCAAAGGAGAAGUCAGACAACUGGGCCGAAUCUGACGCUGAGGUACGAAAGCGUGGGUAGCGAACGGGAUUAGAAACCCUAGUAGUCC
rnacentral:rRNA from 1 species